UCUAACCUCUCAACAACACCGACCCUCGUCUCAUCUAUCAAGACUAUGUCAUCAGCAAAUAGCAUACACCAUGGUACAUCCCCUUGAAUAUGUCGGGUUAGAGCAUCCAUCACCAAGACAAACAAGAGAGGCUAAGCGCCGAUCCUUGAUGGAGCCCCAUAACCACUGGAAAAUGGUCUGAGUCGCCACCCACCGUCCUAACCCUAGUCUUUGCUCCAUCGUACAUGUCCUUGAUUACUCUGAUGUA
rnacentral:lncRNA from 1 species